CUUGCAUGGAAAAUAUCGAAGACUUUUCUAUCAUUUUUUUAAUAUAUUACAUGUAAUUUAUGUAUAAUUUAGUGUCCCUGAUAACCUGUCGAUUAUUUUAAGUAAGGUCUGAUGUAAUAUAAUUAUAAAGACUAUUUUUUCAUAUUUUAACUGUCCAAAGGGGAAGAUAUCAACUAAGGUGUAGGUUUUCCAACAGUCUAAUUCUGGCGACUGAGCCGCCAAAUCGGGUGCCGGAGCUUUCCAACGAGACACCUGUCCCGCCACCUGUAUGAUUAACCCUCAAAAUCAUGUAUUUAAAAAGUAAUGGUGGAUUAUAUAUUUGCAUGGCUAAGUUGGGGGUUUGACUUUUGACUAGGGUGGCACGUUUCAAGGAACUAUAGGAGGAUAGAAGUUGUGGGGACCACAUGUAAAAGGGCUUUAUCGAAAAUCAUGGCGUGGCUCUUGUGCUAACCUUUUCUUUUCUUUUUUUCUGUCCUUG
rnacentral:lncRNA from 1 species